GACGAACGCUGGCGGCGUGCCUAAUACAUGCAAGUCGAGCGCAGGAAGCUGACGGAACUCUUCGGAGGGAAGGCAGUGGAAUGAGCGGCGGACGGGUGAGUAACACGUAAGGAACCUGCCUCAAGGAUUGGGAUAACUCCGAGAAAUCGGAGCUAAUACCGGAUAGUUCAUCGGACCGCAUGGUCCGUUGAUGAAAGGCGCUCCGGCGUCACCUUGAGAUGGCCUUGCGGUGCAUUAGCUAGUUGGUGGGGUAACGGCCCACCAAGGCGACGAGGCAGAGCCGACCUGGGAGGGGGAUCGGCCACACUGGGACUGAGACACGGCCCAGACUCCUACGGGAGGCAGCAGUAGGGAAUCUUCCACAAUGGACGAAAGUCUGAUGGAGCAACGCCGCGUGAGUGAUGAAGGUUUUCGGAUCGUAAAACUCUGUUGUAAGGGAAGAACACGUACGAGAGGAAAUGCUCGUACCUUGACGGUACCUUACGAGAAAGCCACGGCUAACUACGUGCCAGCCGCCGCGGUAA
rnacentral:rRNA from 1 species